CACAGGUCUUCUAAUCUAGGGCAUCCUCAGUUAACGGAUCAUCAUUGUGAGAUCACUCAACUGGUUACUGCUGCCAGCUCUGCUCUCCAUUAAGUGUCCUUGUUGAGUUUGCCUCCAGUGACAGCUGGAGCAAGAACACAGUCAUCUGGGGCCACAUCUCGCUGACACUGGCUCAGUGACCAGGAUCCUUCCUGUGAGCCAAACCCAACCAGAAGCUGGAGGGAACAGGAGUCAGUUCCAUUAAGAUCAGCCACUGGGGACAGAGAUCCAGGUGGAGAAUGCUGAAGAAAGCAUCUGGAUGUGCAAAGGCAAGAUGCUCAGCACAACCCCACACGAUUAAUACACUUGCUGGUUGGUCUGGGCUCUUCUCCACUGCAGCCUUCCAAUGAGUGCCAGCCGUCUUUCUCAGCAAAGCGAAUUUGUUCAUCUGUUUACGUGUCAGAGCUUUCUAUUGCACUCAAGUGUCCGCACUUAGGUAUGCGUGUAUAGAAGGAUGAAGAAUUUGUCACACAAACCUUCAGCUUUUAUUUAUGUAAUAACCAAGGUUGUAUCUGGUGUUCUGGUAAGGUUUAACUGAGAAAAAAAUCAGUGCUUUUUUUUAAACAAAAUGAGAGUGUCAGUGGAUAGCUAAGGUGAUUUACUCUUACAUAUCAAGGGCACACUUUCCAAGGAGACCCAGAAGUUAACCUUUUUUAAAAAAUAAUAAUAAUAAUAAAAAAUGAACCAACCCCAGAAUUUAGGAUUUAGUAAAAGACUGUGUAAGUUUGAAGAAAACGACUAAACCUCCCAUCCCCCAACCCUCCUUCUAUCACUGUCUCCCCCACUGAGGCAGAAGAUUCCAACAUUCACGUAGGAUCCUGGGCCUGGGUCCUUGGAGACAUUCUAGACUCUUCUGUCUCCCACUAUAUUUGAAGCUUUGCUUUUCAAAAUAUCCUGAGACUGUCUGCUUCUCACUUCCUCUACUUUGGCCUUCCUGGAUGAAGCCUCCUCUCUCUCCUGAGCCUGUUUCCUUAAGUGAUCUAUAGCUUCUCUCUGUCAUUUUCCUACAGCCAAUUUUCUAUCUAGUGACAGAUCUUUUAACAACUCGUCAUAUUUCAUAUUUCACUCCCCUGCUCAAAACUCUAAGGAUGUCCCAACACACUCAGAAUCCAAACUUCUAACCAUGACCCAUAAGAUGCCCUACGAAUUGGCCCUGUUUACUUCUUUCACCCCUGUUUUCUUACCAUUGAGUUCCUUGUCCACUCCACCCUUACCCUCUUGCUGUCCACACCAUCCCUAGCUUGUUUCUGCCUCAGGGCCUUUG
rnacentral:lncRNA from 1 species